UUUAAAGGAUUAAAGCAUGCAUGUCUAAGUACAUGUGAGUACACGAAACCGCGCAAAGCUCAUUACAACAGCUAAAAUGUAUACGGUGAGAUACCAUUAAAUGGAUAUCUGCGGUAAAUCUGGAGCUAAUACAUGCAUAAUAGAUUGUAUAAUUAUGUUAUACAAUAGCAGUUAUUAGAUUAAAACCAAUGGGCUUUGCCCAUAUAAGUUAACUCUAGAUAAUGCGCUACCAUACAGAUAUAUUUCUGAUGGAAUGCCGUAUUUGUAUCUGCCCUAUCAACUAUAUAACCGUGUAUUGAACGGUUAUGGUGUUGCCGGGUAACGGAGAAUUAGGGUUCGUCUCCGGAGAGAAUGCCUUAAAAACGGCUUUCACAUCCAAGGAAGGCAGCAGGCGCGAAAAUUACCCACUCUCAGUGCGAGGAGGUAGUGACGUGAAAUGACAAGUUCUAUUCUUUAUAGGAUAGAACAUUGGAAUGGUUUAAUUCUAAAUCCAUUAAAGAUUAUCAAUGAGAGGGCAAGUCUGGUGCCAGCAGCCGCGGUAAUUCCAGCUCUCAUACUGCAUUGAAUUGCUGUUGCGGUUAAAAAGUUCGUAGUUGCAAGUGUACGAAGAGGAGUGGUUCGUAUUAUUGGCGAUACUAUAACUUUCGUUAAAGGGGUAUAUGUAUUUAUACAUAUCCCACAGUUACUUUGAGUAAAUCAGAGUGCUUAGAACAAGCGUAUUGCUUGAAUGGUUGUGCAUGGAAUAACAAUACAAUGCGUUGUCAUUUGUUUUGUUGGUUUUAAUGACAAUGAAUGAUUAAAAGGAACAAACGGGGGCAAAAGUAUCAUAAGGCGAGAGGUGAAAUCGUGACCCUUGAAGCAAGGC
rnacentral:rRNA from 1 species